rnacentral:pre_miRNA from 1 species
GUGAGAUGAAAUCUAUGUUUGGACAUGCGAUUUCACGUUGAUUUCAUCUCAUGA